rnacentral:miRNA from 1 species
GUUGGCCAAAAAGUUCGUUCGGGAUUUUCCAUACGAUGUUACGGAACGAAUGAACUUUUGGGCCAAC